rnacentral:rRNA from 1 species
UACAGAGGUCCCGAGCGUUGUUCGGAUUCACUGGGCGUAAAGGGUGCGUAGGUGGUGAGGUAAGUCGGAUGUGAAAUCUCCAAGCUCAACUUGGAAAUGGCAUUGGAAACUACCUUGCUGGAGGUUUGGAGGGGGGACUGGAAUUCUCGGUGUAGCAGUGAAAUGCGUAGAUAUCGAGAGGAACACCAGUGGCGAAGGCGACUACCUGGCCUGUUCUUGACGCUGAGGCGCGAAAGCUAGGGGAGCAAACGGG